rnacentral:rRNA from 1 species
AGCAGCCGCGGUAAUUCCAGCUCCAAUAGCGUAUAUUAAAGUUGUUGCAGUUAAAAAGCUCGUAGUUGAAUUUCGGGAUCGAAUUGUUGGUCGUGCUUCGGUACGUACUGGCAUUAUUGGUUCCUACCUUCUGAAGAACCGCGAUGUCAUUAAUUUGGUGUCGUGGGGAAUCAGGACUGUUACUUUGAAAAAAUUAGAGUGUUUAAAGCAGGCGCACGCUUGAAUACAUUAGCAUGGAAUAAUGAAAUAGGACGUUUGAUUCUAUUUUGUUGGUUUCUAGGAUCGACGUAAUGAUUAAUAGGGAUAGUUGGGGGCAUUAGUAUUCAAUUGUCAGAGGUGAAAUUCUUGGAUUUAUUGAAGACUAACUACUGUGAAAGCAUUUGCCAAGGAUGUUUUCAUUAAUCAAGAACGAAAGUUAGGGGAUCGAAGACGAUCAGAUACCGUCGUAGUCUUAACCAUAAACUAUGCCGACUAGGGAUCGGAUGAUGUUAAUUUUUUAAUGACUC